rnacentral:lncRNA from 1 species
AAUGUUUUAUAUUUUUAUUCUUUCACUUUUUGAAUUUGCUAGAGGAAAAAGGCUCUGCUUUUUUUUUUUCAAACCACCAUUUUUUUAAACACCCAACACUUGGGUUUCUUAACACCUUGAGUACCACCACGCCACCAAGACCGACGGCCGACGAUGGAAGAAAAACCCCGGCGACACGGUCACGGCCAACUCCGGUGAGUUUCUCCUCUCCUUAUUUCUUUUGUUUUUAUUUUCGUAAGUAGAAAGAAAUAAAAAGAAAUCAAACUAGAUGUAAAAACACACAAAAAUAAAGAAACGAAAAUUACUUCUCCGAUUCAAAGUUUAUGUUUUUAUUGUUCUUGUGUCCGUAAAAAGAGAGGAAGAGCCCCCUUUGCCGGCCAUCGACCACCGCACCGGUCGCCGGACGCCGGCGAUGACGCCGCCGUUCGCGGUGGCCGGAAAACCAAAAAAAAGCUCCCUUUUUCUCCUUUUUGCGAAUAGGGUCUAGAUCUGGGGUUAGAAAAGCCGAAAUCUCGGCGAAAAGGGCCAAAAUCGAAAGAGACCUUUUGGUUCUUCCUCUUUCCACCGCCGCCGGAAACAGGUAAACUCCUUUUUACUUUUAUUUUUUUAUCUUAUAUAUAUGUGUGUUGAUAAUAAAAAAAGAGAAAGAAAUACUAUAGAAAAACCGAAAUAGAACGAAAAUAAAGAAAACGAAAAAAACAAGGUGAAUCACCUUCUAAAGCCCCUUUUUUAUUUCUUUCAAUUUUUUCAAAAGCCGAAUCUUCUCUUUUUUGUUACAAAAGUCCCCCCUCCUUUUUUUUGUUUUUGUUUUUCUUUUUUUCUUUGGUCCGAUUUUGCUUGUGGCUUUUAUAGCCAAAAAUACAAUAUUCUGUUAAUGUUUAUUGCUCCAUUUUUUGUCCUUUUCCUUUGCUUGUUUGCAGGUGCGGCAAAAGGCAUGGUGGUGGCAGACAGCAUGGGAGAGUGGGAGUGGUGCUGGUGGCAGACAACAUGGGAGAAUGGGAAGAGGCAAGUGGGAGUCUAGGGUUUUGGGAUUGGGCUUGGAUGUUGGGCUAGGUUGAUUUUAGGUUUUGGGUUUUAUUAUUUGGGUUAUUUUGUUGGUAUGGGCCCGGGCAAAAAUGGACUUUUACAAAUACAAUCUCACCUCGAUGAUUUCUCACCACUAUCCCCGAACUCGAAAUGUUUAAAGAUUGAUUAAAGGCCGCAUCAAAGUUGAAUUUAACAUAUGGGACAACCUAAGGACUCCAUUCAUCGAUGCCUUUAACAAUAGUAGAUUUCCAUGCACUUACCUACUCUUAUUCUUUAAGGUACUCACAUAUCCAUUCAGCGAUACUUUUACCAGUAUUUUGUUUCUUAUCAUGCAACCAUUAAUUUCUGCAGAACCAGAUAGAACAACAAACCAAUCGUGCUUGCUCAUUUGUAUUACUCUAGAAAAUCUAGGUAAUCCAAUCCCAAUACUUCGAUUUUGAGUGAGAUAAAACCCAGUCACAAUUUAAUUCUUUCCAGACCUCUAUUACUGUAGGACACUUUCUAAAGACAUGGGUUAGAUUUUCCACUGCUCCUUUGCAUCUAGGACAUUAAGCAUCCGACACCAACCUUAUCUGAAAUAAGUUAGCCAGAGUAGGAAAAUAAUACCAUGCUGUUCUCCAUAUCAGUAUCUUUAUUUUUGAGGGGAGAUGUAGUCUCCAUAAUUUUUUGUAAAAACUUGUAAUGUUAUUUUGCAAAAUGUCUGUACUAGGUAGAACUCUCUUCUAAUGUAAAAGUCGGUAAGCACUCCUGUGUAACGACCCAAAAUUUACGGGUAUCAAAAAUUUAAAUUUUCGGAUCAUAAUUUCCAUAAAAUGAAUUCGUAAAUAUUUAUUAGAAAUAUUUACGAAGAGUAGUGUAGUUAAUUAGACUUUGGUUAAGUGAAUUAGCUUGAAUUAAGGCUAAUUUAGUGAAAGGACUAGAUUGAAUAUAGGGUAAAAGUUUAAUUAUAGACUAAAGAAAAUUGAAGGGACUAAAUUAGCAAAUAAACCUUAUGUGACAAGUGUGUGGUAAGUGUAAAUACAUGUGUAUUAUUUUAAUUGGUACAAAUGUAUGUAUAUAUAUGUAUUUACUUAUUAUUUAAUAAAUAAUAAUUAUAAUUAAAAAAUAUAAUAUAAUAAUAUAAAGUAAAAGAAAUAAAAUAAAUAAUAAAAAGAAUAAAGAAACAAAAGUAAGAAACAUAACAGAGAAGUAAUGAAAAUUGAGGGAAAGAAAGAAAGAAAGAAAGAAAAAGAAAAGGAAAAAUAGGGUUUUGAGGUUUGAAGCUUAAUUGCUAGCGUAGCACCAGAAACGUCAUCAAAAAAGGGAAAAGAGAAAAUGAGCGAAGAUAACGAAUAAACUCGAGAAUUACGAUUUGUAUUUCUAUAACCAAACUUAAUAGUUAUUUUGAUACAUAUUAUUGAUAUUAUGUAUGGCUAUUGAAAUUAAGGUAAGUAUAUAUAUUGUGGUAUGGUGUUGAUUUAUGAAUAUUUGAAUUGAAAUGUAUAGUUAUUUUUGAUGAUGAAUUGAAAGUGAAUUGAAUACCCUAUUAACAGUAUCGGGCUAGUCGGAUAUAAUUGACAUGCCAUAGGAUUGGAAGUGUUCAAGGAUAUUCCGACUUUGUGUCGAUGAGACACUAUGAGUGUUGCCUUACUGUUACUGUUACUGUUCCAGAUUCAUUCUGAUGAGGUACUCUGUGUAACGCUACUAUUACUGUUACUGUUAUUAUUACUGUUACGGUGUAUUCCAGCUUCGGCCGAUGAAACACUAUAUAUUAUUCCGGUGUGUGGGUUGGAUCCGUGUAUCUGUCUAGGUCCGAGUUAUGUUAAUAGGGGUAAAUUACUGCACUGAAGACUGAAUGAUACUGACUGAAUUGUAUAUCUUACUGGUUUCGAUUCUAAUGAUAAAUGUUAUUAUGAAAUGAAGACAAUUAAUUGAAUGUUCAUGAUAUGUUUAUUUAUUGAAAUCUAAUGUUUAAGUAUAAAUACAUAAAUUAAGUAUUGGUUUAUAGAAAUACCACUGGAUACAUACUCAGCGUACGGUUUGUUUCCGUGCGAAGGACUAGGUACGAAAAAAAGCUAAGGACUUAGCAUCCAAGCCAGUCCUGGACUCAAAGUGGUGGAUACUUCUCUUUUGGUAAAAUGGGGCAUGUACCUAGGUUGUUAAGGUGUUAUUUUGUACAUGAUAGUGAAUGAACAUGAAAGACGUUGAAGCA